GUGAACGCUGGCGGUAGGCCUAACACCUGCAAGUCGAACGGCAGCACAGUAAGAGCUUGCUCUUACGGGUGGCGAGUGGCGGACGGGUGAGGAAUACAUCGGAAUCUACUUUUUCGUGGGGGAUAACGUAGGGAAACUUACGCUAAUACCGCAUACGACCUACGGGUGAAAGCAGGGGAUCUUCGGACCUUGCGCGAUUGAAUGAGCCGAUGUCGGAUUAGCUAGUUGGCGGGGUAAAGGCCCACCAAGGCGACGAUCCGUAGCUGGUCUGAGAGGAUGAUCAGCCAAACUGGAACUGAGACACGGUCCAGACUCCUACGGGAGGCAGCAGUGGGGAAUAUUGGACAAUGGGCGCAAGCCUGAUCCAGCCAUACCGCGUGGGUGAAGAAGGCCUUCGGGUUGUAAAGCCCUCUUUGUUGGGAAAGAAAAGCAGCAGGUUAAUACCCCGCUGUUCUGACGGUACCCAAAGAAUAAGCACCGGCUAACUUCGUG
rnacentral:rRNA from 1 species